UAGGGAAUCUUCGGCAAUGGGGGGAACCCUGACCGAGCAACGCCGCGUGAGUGAAGAAGGUUUUCGGAUCGUAAAGCUCUGUUGUUAAGGAAGAACGAGUGUGAGAAUGGAAAGUUCAUACUGUGACGGUACUUAACCAGAAAGGGACGGCUAACUACGUGCCAGCAGCCGCGGUAAUACGUAGGUCCCGAGCGUUGUCCGGAUUUAUUGGGCGUAAAGCGAGCGCAGGCGGUUAGAUAAGUCUGAAGUUAAAGGCAGUGGCUCAACCAUUGUAGGCUUUGGAAACUGUUUAACUUGAGUGCAGAAGGGGAGAGUGGAAUUCCGUGUGUAGCGGUGAAUUGCGUAGAUAUAUGGAGGAACACCGGUGGCGAAAGCGGCUCUCUGGUCUGUAACUGCCGCUGAGGCUCGAAAGCGUGGGGAGCGAACAGG
rnacentral:rRNA from 1 species